rnacentral:rRNA from 1 species
GAUAAACGCUGGCGGCGUGCAUGAGACAUGCAAGUCGAACGGACGAUCGAGGCUUGCUUCGAUCGUUAGUGGCGGACGGCUGAGUAACGCGUAGGUGACCUGCCCCGAAGUGGGGAAUAACUGCCCGAAAGGGUGGCUAAUACCGCAUGUGGUGGUGUGUUCAAUCACACCAGUAAAGCCGCAAGGCGCUUCGGGAGGGGCCUGCGUCCGAUUAGCUCGUUGGUGGGGUAACGGCNCACCAAGGCGACGAUCGGUAGGUGGUCUGAGAGGACGAUCACCCAGACUGGGACUGAGACACGGCCCAGACUCCUACGGGAGGCAGCAGUCGGGAAUUUUGCGCAAUGGACGAAAGUCUGACGCAGCAACGCCGCGUGAGGGAUGACGGCCUCGG